rnacentral:ncRNA from 1 species
GAUCAAGUAAAAAAGGGCGCACGGUGGAUGCCCUGGCACUAGGAGCCGAUGAAGGACGUGAUAAGCUGCGAUAAGCUGCGGGUAGAUGCAAAUAAUCUGUGAUCCGUAGAUUUCCGAAUGGGGAAACCCACUUAGCUAACGCUAAGUACUAUAUGCUGAAUACAUAGGCAUAUAGAGGUACACCUGGGGAACUGAAACAUCUAAGUACCCAGAGGAAGAGAAAGAAAAUUCGAUUCCCUAAGUAGCGGCGAGCGAAAGGGGAAGAGCCCAAACCAGAAACUUCGUUUCUGGGGUUGUGGAUAGAUCAUAACGCUUUGAUUUUCUUAGCCGAAUAGAACUGGAAAGUUCAGUCGUAGAAGGUAAUAACCCUGUAGGCGAAAAGAAAAGAUAAGCAGAUCUACUCCAGAGUACCACGAGACACGUGAAACCUUGUGGGAAGCAGGGAGGACCAUCUCCCAAGGCUAAAUACUACCUAGUGACCGAUAGCGAAGCAGUACCGUGAGGGAAAGGUGAAAAGAACCCCGGGAGGGGAGUGAAAUAGAACCUGAAACCGUGUGCCUA